rnacentral:ribozyme from 1 species
CAAUUAACUCCGCCUGUAGCUCUUAUAGGGUUGCUGCCGGUCCCAAGCCCGGGUAAAGGAGGAGGGUUGG